rnacentral:rRNA from 1 species
AACGAACGCUGGCGGCAUGCCUAACACAUGCAAGUCGAACGAGACCUUCGGGUCUAGUGGCGCACGGGUGCGUAACGCGUGGGAAUCUGCCCUUGGGUUCGGGAUAACAGUUGGAAGCGACUGCUAAUACCGGAUGAUGUCUUCGGACCAAAGACUUAUCGCCCAGGGAUGAGCCCGCGUCGGAUUAGCUAGUUGGUGAGGUAAAGGCUCACCAAGGCGACGAUCCGUAGCUGGUCUGAGAGGAUGAUCAGCCACACUAGGACUGAGACACGGCCCAGACUCCUACGGGAGGCAGCAGUGGGGAAUAUUGGACAAUGGGCGAAAGCCUGAUCCAGCAAUGCCGCGUGAGUGAUGAAGGCCUUAGGGUUGUAAAGCUCUUUUACCCGGGAUGAUAAUGACAGUACCGGGAGAAUAAGCCCCGGCUAACUCCGUGCCAGCCGCCGCCGUAACAC